AUGUGCCUUUGUCUGAAAUAUUGGGUACAUUUGCUCUAUCUGUUGGUGCUGCUGUGGGAAUGGAGUUUUGGGCAAGAUGGGCUCAUAAGAUGGGAAUAGAGUUUAGUUGCAGUCUCAUGACCGACCCAGAGAAGGUCCAUUCGAGCUUAACGAUGGACUGAAACAGAGAGAGAGAGGAGAUAAGGAAUCUGGC